rnacentral:rRNA from 1 species
UACAGGGGAUGCAAGCGUUAUCCGGAAUGAUUGGGCGUAAAGCGUUUUGAACAGGUGGUUUAGAAAGUCGAUUGUUAAAACCCAAGGCUUAACCUUGGACCGGCAAUGGAAACUUCUAGACUAGAGUGUGGUAGAGGUAGAUGGAAUUACCGGUGUAACGGUGAAAUGUGCAGAUAUCGGUAAGAACCCCGACGGCGAAAGCAAUCUACUGGGCCAAAACUGACACUUAAGAACGAAAAGCUAGGGGAGCGAAUAGG